rnacentral:rRNA from 1 species
GCAUAUUAAUAAGCGGAGGAAAAGAAACUAACAAGGAUUCCCUUAGUAACGGCGAGUGAAGCGGGAACAGCUCAAGCUUGAAAUCGACACUUGGUAAACAUAUGUCGAGUUGUAGCUUUUGGAAGCAGUUUCAAGCUACUGGUUGCGGUAAAAGUUCUUUUGAAUAAGACAUCAAAGAGGGUGAGAAUCCCGUCAUUGACCGUGAUUUAAGUGGUGAUGCGAACUGUUUUCUGUGAGUCGGGUUGUUUGGGAAUGCAGCCCUAAUUGGGAGGUAAAUUUCUUCCAAAGCUAAAUAUUAGUAAGAGACCGAUAGCGAACAAGUACCGUGAGGGAAAGAUGAAAAGCACUUUGAAAAGAGAGUGAAAAGUACGUGAAAUUGAUAAAAGGGAACCGGUUGGUAGCCAAGCAUUUCUUGGUGUUAGGGCAUUUAUGUCAGAGCGCCAGGAGGGUCAACAUCGAUUACUGUUAACUGCCAGAAAGGAAAUUUUGCAUUCUAGCGGAGGAAGGUAGGGGGGCGAGUUUCUGUUUCAUUUAUGGAGCAGUAUUAUGGCUUGCUUUCUGUUAUAGCCUCCAUGAGUUUGCUUUUUAUACGCCUAGUGGUGGUGGUGAUCGAGGACUGCAGCGCGUUUUGAGAAGUUUUACUUCUUAAUGGCUUGAUUGUUUUAAAGCAUUGUAGUUGCGUUAUGGUAGACAGCAUGCUGACUGCUAUGGGUAGGCUAUAUGAUUUAGGGCAUUCAAGACUAAUCAGCGCUUUGGAUGUUGGCGAAAAGGCACUAAUCGACCCGUCUUGAAACACGGACC